rnacentral:rRNA from 1 species
UACAUGGGGUGCAAACGUUGCUCGGAAUUAUUGGGCGUAAAGCGCACGUAGGCGGUUCGUUAAGUCGGAUGUGAAAGCCCUCGGCUCAACUGAGGAAGUGCACCUGAAACUGGCGAGCUUGAGUACGAAAGAGGAUCGCGGAAUUCCCGGUGUAGAGGUGAAAUUCGUAGAUAUCGGGAGGAACACCGGUGGCGAAGGCGGCGUCUGGGUCGAUACUGACGCUGAGGUGCGAAAGCGUGGGGAGCAAACAGG